CCAUGUGGUGAUGCUGGGCUAGGGUCAAAGGGCAACAGACGGGAGUCAGGUGGUUACAUCAUUGGCUGGAUAGAGGUCUGCAAAGGCCCUGGUCCUGUGUGAUAUUACUGACUGAUAAUGUAACCACCUGACCAUGGGUGGCCCCAUUAGUUGCCAUCCGGACUUCCUCUUUGUCAGGCCCCAUAACCGCUGAGAAAUGGAAAGCUAGCCUUUCACAAACAGGCUUUUCCCCGAUGUUUAGCCUUCAGACCUACCUACUCCGCAGCAUAUUGGCCUGAAGAAUUAGGCAUGUGGAUAAACUGUCGGCUGGAGAUCAAAGGCUACAGCUGCAGUAUGUUAAUUACACCUCACUCAUUCACCACCACCACCAUGCCCAUACAUGGCGAACGAUAGCCCGGAAGCAUCAAUGCCAAGAUGAGAAUCGAUCUGCAUGGCCUCGUCGAUGAAAUUGACCGCUUUCCCACUGGAUCGCGUGGCCGAAAUUUGGUCAUUGCCAAAUGCGGCCCCCCUGGU